CCAAGCAGGCUCCGUGCUGUCAUUGUGGAACCUGAUGUGGGGCUCCAUUCCAAAAACCACGAGAUCAUGACCUGAGCUGAAACCAAAAGUCGGACAUUCAACCAAGUGAGCCACCCAGGUGCCUCCUGGGCCCUGUCCUUCUGAAGGCAGGACCCAGAAUCACAAAGGCUGAAGAGAGUGAGGAGCAAGAUGAGGGAGACCAAAAGAGGGGCGACUCUUUGAUUCAGGACCAGAAGGAGGAGAAGGGAAGGAGAUAGCGUGUUGGCAGUCGCCCAAAACACGGGUCUGAAAAACCAGGACGGCGGUUUCCAGGACCAUCCAUUUUCAGCAUUUUGAGCAGGCUGGCUUUGACCCUUAGUACACGGUUCCCUGAUGCUCUUUGAGGCACGUGUCUGUCCUUUCAAAGGAUCUGUGUCUUUCUCACCGACUGCUACCCCUGCUUUGGAGCCACUGGGAUGAAGCGAAGGUCAAGUUCUGCUCUUGCUGUACCGUCUGGCGGCUGGGACUAUGAAAGCCAUUCAGCACCAGGGACCUUUUGUUUUCAUGCGGAUAAGGAAUGUGGCAACCAGCACCCGGAAUCCUAAUAAAAGAGCAAGCCAAGCUACGCUGGUGAGAAUGGGAACUAAAACAUAACAUCCAAAAUCUAAGAAAAAGAGGCGCCUGGGUGGCUCAAGUCAGUUCAGCGUCCGACUUCAGCUCAGGUCAUGAUCUCAUGGCUCGUCUGUUCGAGCCCCACGUUGGGCUCUGUGCUGCCUGCUCGGAGCCU